CCAUAUCAAUCCAUACGAUAUUUUUGUUCUGACAACGGGAUGCAGAAUGGAUCCGAAAAAGAAACUUUCAUUUCCAGUUUCCUAUUUUUUUUAUUUAAUAUUGUAAUUGUAUUGAAUUUCAAUUUAAUGAAAAAAAUAGAAAAUUCUCUCUUUUUCUAACAGAUAAAAAGAAAUAGAAAAAUAUUCGAAGUAUCUUUCUUUCUUCGACCCGUGGAAAGAUAUACUUUUGAGUUUUAGAUUCG
rnacentral:lncRNA from 1 species